UACGUAGGGGGCUAGCGUUGUCCGGAAUCAUUGGGCGUAAAGCGCGUGUAGGCGGUCCGGUAAGUCCGCUGUGAAAGUCGGGGGCUCAACCCUCGAAUGCCGGUGGAUACUGUCGGGCUAGAGUGCGGAAGAGGCGAGUGGAAUUCCUGGUGUAGCGGUGAAAUGCGUAGAGAUGUGGAGGAACACCGAUGGCGAAGGCAGCCUUCUGGGCCAACACUGACGCUCAUGCACGAAAGCGUGGGGAGCAAACAGG
rnacentral:rRNA from 1 species